rnacentral:rRNA from 1 species
UUGAACGCUGGCGGCAGGCCUAACACAUGCAAGUCGAGCGGUAGCACAGAGAGCUUGCUCUCGGGUGACGAGCGGCGGACGGGUGAGUAAUGUCUGGGAAACUGCCUGAUGGAGGGGGAUAACUACUGGAAACGGUAGCUAAUACCGCAUAAUGUCGCAAGACCAAAGUGGGGGACCUUCGGGCCUCAUGCCAUCAGAUGUGCCCAGAUGGGAUUAGCUAGUAGGUGGGGUAACGGCUCACCUAGGCGACGAUCCCUAGCUGGUCUGAGAGGAUGACCAGCCACACUGGAACUGAGACACGGUCCAGACUCCUACGGGAGGCAGCAGUGGGGAAUAUUGCACAAUGGGCGCAAGCCUGAUGCAGCCAUGCCGCGUGUGUGAAGAAGGCCUUCGGGUUGUAAAGCACUUUCAGCGGGGAGGAAGGCGUUAAGGUUAAUAACCUUGGCGAUUGACGUUACCCGCAGAAGAAGCACCGGCUAACUCCGUGCCAGCAGCCGCGGUAAUACGGAGGGUGCAAGCGUUAAUCGGAAUUACUGGGCGUAAAGCGCACGCAGGCGGUCUGUCAAGUCGGAUGUGAAAUCCCCGGGCUCAACCUGGGAACUGCAUUCGAAACUGGCAGGCUAGAGUCUUGUAGAGGGGGGUAGAAUUCCAGGUGUAGCGGUGAAAUGCGUAGAGAUCUGGAGGAAUACCGGUGGCGAAGGCGGCCCCCUGGACAAAGACUGACGCUCAGGUGCGAAAGCGUGGGGAGCAAACAGGAUUAGAUACCCUGGUAGUCCACGCCGUAAACGAUGUCGAUUUGGAGGUUGUGCCCUUGAGGCGUGGCUUCCGGAGCUAACGCGUUAAAUCGACCGCCUGGGGAGUACGGCCGCAAGGUUAAAACUCAAAUGAAUUGACGGGGGCCCGCACAAGCGGUGGAGCAUGUGGUUUAAUUCGAUGCAACGCGAAGAACCUUACCUGGUCUUGACAUCCACAGAACUUUCCAGAGAUGGAUUGGUGCCUUCGGGAACUGUGAGACAGGUGCUGCAUGGCUGUCGUCAGCUCGUGUUGUGAAAUGUUGGGUUAAGUCCCGCAACGAGCGCAACCCUUAUCCUUUGUUGCCAGCGGUUAGGCCGGGAACUCAAAGGAGACUGCCAGUGAUAAACUGGAGGAAGGUGGGGAUGACGUCAAGUCAUCAUGGCCCUUACGACCAGGGCUACACACGUGCUACAAUGGCAUAUACAAAGAGAAGCGACCUCGCGAGAGCAAGCGGACCUCAUAAAGUAUGUCGUAGUCCGGAUUGGAGUCUGCAACUCGACUCCAUGAAGUCGGAAUCGCUAGUAAUCGUAGAUCAGAAUGCUACGGUGAAUACGUUCCCGGGCCUUGUACACACCGCCCGUCGCACCAUGGGAGUGGGUUGCAAAAGAAGUAGGUAGCUUAACCUUCGGGAGGGCGCUUACCACUUUGUGAUUCAUGACUGGGGUG